AGCGAACGCUGGCGGCAGGCUUAACACAUGCAAGUCGAGCGGGCGUAGCAAUACGUCAGCGGCAGACGGGUGAGUAACGCGUGGGAACGUACCUUUUGGGUUCGGAACAACACAGGGGAAACUUGUGCUAAUACCGGAUAAGCCCUUACGGGGAAANAUUUAUCGCCGAAAGAUCGGCCCGCGUCUGAUUAGCUUGUUGGUGAGGUAACGGCUCACCAAGGCGACGAUCAGUAGCUGGCUGAGAGGAUGAUCAGCCACAUUGGGACUGAGACACGGCCAAACUCCUACGGGAGGCAGCAGUGGGGAAUAUUGGACAAUGGGCGCAAGCCUGAUCCAGCCAUGCCGCGUGAGUGAUGAAGGCCC
rnacentral:rRNA from 1 species